rnacentral:rRNA from 1 species
CGGGGUGAGUAACGCGUGGGCAACCUACCGUAUACAGGGGGAUAACACUUAGAAAUAGGUGCUAAUACCGCAUAAGCGCACAGCAGUGCAUACUGGAAGUGUGAAAAGCCGAGACGGUAUACGAUGGGCCCGCGUCUGAUUAGCCAGUUGGCAGGGUAACGGCCUACCAAAGCGACGAUCAGUAGCCGGCCUGAGAGGGCGGACGGCCACAUUGGGACUGAGACACGGCCCAGACUCCUACGGAAGGCAGCAG